GUGUGUGUGUGUGUCCAGGUGAUGCGGAGGAGAGCAGCUGCAGGAAACUGACCGGGUGCUUUGUUCUCGCGAGGUUUUAAUGUCACGUGACGUGGUGACGCAGCGCGGCGCCGACGAAAGUUGAACUCACAUGUUGACAACAAACCGGAGCUGAGGAGUGACACAGGCUGAUGGUGGGCUGAUUGGAGGGUUGGAUCACCAGCACUUGGCGGCGGGCAGCAGGGAGGGUCUGACCCUCCGCCCGGGGUUGAAGAUGUCUCUGACCUCCGUCUCUAGAUGAACACCUGGAACCUUGAAGACGGACACGGCUGAAAACCACAGAAGAAGAACACGAUUUAACCAGAGAAGACAGACUGACCUGCUGAUGCCUUUAUAGACGGAGGCGUACGCUCCCUCUCCCAGUUUCUCCAGACUCAGGUGUGUGAGGUCAGCUGACCCAGGUGAAGUGGUCGUCGCUGCUCUUCCCUCCCAGCGGGUCACUGUUGCUUCGUCCUCUAUGAACCCGCAGCCGUCGGGCCUGCAGAGUGUGGAACCAGUGGUGCUGGGAUCCGGAGGGGGACGAGCUGGACUGGUCUGGAUCCACCUGUGACACGGGAACCUUUAAACCACCUUAAAGACAUCCUCACUGUAAUACCACCUUAAAAAAAAACAGUUUCCAGCAUCAGGGAGAACUGCUUCAUCAAUGGCGCCUGGACUUUCUUUGGAUUCCUCAAGACUGAAGAACUGAAGAAGACGUUUGGAUUGUUUGAAAAGAAGAGGAAUAUCCCUUGACUUGUCGCUCUUCAUGGACACACAGCUGGGUUCAGGUUCUCCCAGCUUCCUCCUGAAAAACACAGGAACCAGAACACAGUGAAACUAUGAGCUGUGGACACAUUGAACA